rnacentral:rRNA from 1 species
GACGAACGCUGGCGGCGUGCCUAAUACAUGCAAGUUGAGCGCUGAAGGUUGGUACUUGUACCAACUGGAUGAGCAGCGAACGGGUGAGUAACGCGUGGGGAAUCUGCCUUUGAGCGGGGGACAACAUUUGGAAACGAAUGCUAAUACCGCAUAAAAACUUUAAACACAAGUUUUAAGUUUGAAAGAUGCAAUUGCAUCACUCAAAGAUGAUCCCGCGUUGUAUUAGCUAGUUGGUGAGGUAAAGGCUCGCCAAGGCGAUGAUACAUAGCCGACCUGAGAGGGUGAUCGGUCACAUUGGGACUGAGACACGGCCCAAACUCCUACGGGAGGCAGCAGUAGGGAAUCUUCGGCAAUGGACGAAAGUCUGACCGAGCAACGCCGCGUGAGUGAAGAAGGUUGUCGGAUCGUAAAACUCUGUUGGUAGAGAAGAACGUUGGUGAGAGUGGAAAGCUCAUCAAGUGACGGUAACUACCCAGAAAGGGACGGCUAACUACGUG